UAGUAGAGAGCUACAAAAAAAGUUCAUCUGCUGUAGCAGUUUCACUCUUUUGUUCAUCAUCAUUCCUUUACAAGCUUUGGUACCAUGGCGGUCUUGUCCACUAUAAAGAGUGAUAAAAAUGGCUGAAAUUCCUAAAACAUUGCAAGAAGAAAUACCUCAAAUUCUCAAUUUUAGAUCUCAAGAAAUUGGUUUGUUUCUUUAUUUCAAGGAAGUCAAAGGUUUCAAGGAUUUAAUUAUUGUUGAUAUCAGCUCUUUUAUUUAUACCAUAACGGGUACAAUGCAUGCCAUAUCCUUCAUAAACAAGGCUACUUCUGAUAUAGGAAUAGUAUCAAGGCAUGAUCUGGAUCAAGUUCUUUCACUGACAAGCCACUCACCUAUUGAAAUGGCUUUUAUUAUUAACCUUCUUAAAGAUUACAAUAUACUACACUUUGAUCCAAAAAAUUAUUUUAUUCCAAAUUUCCUAUAAAUAGCUGAUACUCAUACUGCAUUACUGAAGAUGAAAUUAAAACAAAAAAUCCCACUCUGUUUCAAUUUAAGGCACUUCUAAUCCUAUUACUGUACUUUCAGCCUUGGCUACUGAGCUUCCCAAAGAAACUGUUUCUAAGUUUAGCUAUUAUUGUUGUGCGUGUAUAAUACUGGUUGUCCCUUACUGAUUAUUCUUGAGUCAAUUUGUUUUAACAACCACAUCAAGUUUCAUUCUCGCAAUAGAAUCAUUAGAGCUAUGAUUCAUUUUUCAUAUUUGAAUAUUCAAAUUGUUGGCGGCUCUGGAAAUCUCUCUAAUGUUUACAAGUUUAUAAAAAAAGUUAUUUUCAAUUUGCGGGAUAAGGCUCCUCCAUUUUUAUUGGAUUUUAUUGUUCCAGUGUUCAUCCAAGACCUCAUUUCAGCAAGCUGAAUAAUCCAGAAUAUGUGUCCAUGAUUUGUACUGAGUUUCCAGAGUGUACUAAUCAUCAAAAGGCUAUUGUUUUAUCUAGUCAUCAGGAAGAAUGGCUUGUUUGUUAUACACUAAUGACAAAGAACACAUCUUUUAAGUUUGGAAUUAUUGAAUUCAUUAGAGGAACAGAAUAACAGGAUGAAGUUUGAGGUUUGAUUUAGACGAUUACCAUCCAUACCAUUCAUUAUCAAUUUAUUUAGAAAGCUGAACUUUUAGAAAAAUUUGAACUGGCACGGAAAUAAUAAUAACAUAUUUGUACGUAGGCUGGGGACAAGUCUGAUUAGCCAGACUAUAGGCAUGCAUGCAGCAUAUUGUAUACUUGUAGCUAGAAAAAGCCAGAGAGAAGGAUUUCCUGCACAUAGCAAUAUGUUACAAGACAGAAUGAAGGCAAUACAAGGCAGAAUAAUAAAAAGACCAUAACAUUAAAAAGCUACUAAAUAAGGAGGUUGAUACAAUUAGUCACAUAAGCAUUAAAACUCCUUGUAAGCCAGUUAGGCAAUAAAAUUUUGGUGUAAUUUAGUUAGAAUUAGUUAAGGAACUGUCUCCACAAGGCAUUAGGGCUAUGAAAAAUUUUAUUCAUUUCUGUAGACAUAAUUUGUAAAGUAGCAGCAUGCAGUACUUAAACCAAUGGAAGAUGACUGGUACAUACUAGAUUUCCAGAAUUGGUGAAUCAAGUGGAGAACUUGAAAAAAGAUGGGAAGACAUAAUAUAUUAUGAGAACUUCACAAGUCAGUUUGUGGCAAUAGUAUUUUGCAUGAUUACCUGGUUCCAUUACAAGAUAAACUUGAUGACAUAGGGAGUUGUCUCAUUGCUGGGAGAAAAAAUAUUUUACUUCAAGGAGAAAAUGCUCACCAAAUGAAUUGGAAGAAUUAUGGUCCUAAUAUUAGUAUUAUAGAAGGAAGUCUACCUUUUGCAAAAAAGCCUUGUUGCAUUUGCAGGAGGGUCUUUUAUUUUUCCAGAAAACACUGUUCUUGCUAGUGCUAUGUAUGCUAUCUCUGUCUCUAAACAACCAAAGCAAUUCAAACUAGAGUUGCAGCAUUGUGUUAGAUUGAAGAAAGAGAUUCAAACAAAGUUUUUCAAAUUUGUAACAGCUCCCAUCAGCUCUGCUAGCAAUUCGCUUUCAUUCACAGCUGUAAAAGGUGGUCAAUUUCCCAUUGGAGUAGCUAUGGUUCGGUUAAGCAUAGUAAUAGUCUUGCCAUGCCGAAGGGGCGUGGUGAGACUAGCAUAGUAAAUAUUGUCUGAUGGGUAUCACAGCUGAUGAUCGAGUCUGAAGGUGAUAAACCAUUGGAUAAAUCUGAUAAACUAUCAACUAGAGUGUUUAAUAAUAUCAAUGAAGAUAUGGAGCACACUAUAAUGAUUUAUAAUGAGCAAAAAGGUAUUAAUAAUUCAGCUAUUUUUACUGCUGUAAAAAAAUUAGAUGCUUUACAUAAGGUAACAUAUCAAAUACAAGAAUAAAGUCCAUAGAUCUGUAAUUGGACACUGCAGUAUACCGAAGCUGAAUAUGCUGAUGCUGGUCAAAAUGUAUCUUAUUGUUUGAAAUGGCAGGAAAGUUUUUUGAGCUGCUAUUAAAACUUGACUCAAGCAGUGCCAUUAAAACAAAUAAUGUUUGGACUAUCCAGCCUCAGAUCAUAUGCCCUGCAAAUUGCAACAAAAAGAUACGGAUAAAUUUGGUCAAAACAAUUGGCUUCUUCCGCCAAAGUGCAUCAUAUCCAUCUCAUAUUCAUCACCGCAUACAGCAUCCCAUGACAGAACUGAGUCAGUAUUAAAUUAUUCUGUUCCUAUUGGCGGUGUGGUGGAACUUGUGACACUUUUUAUUCACAGAGAAGCAAGAGCUCUAAUUUUUCUAUUUCAUUUUUGUAUACUAGAUCCAGAUAUUGCAGCAAAGGCUAAUAUUUAGAAAAACCAUUUCCUGAACUGACUCGAUUGUUUUCUUUGGCACACAAUAGGUCAAGAAUUGCUACAGAAUUAUUGAGUGAAGAUCUCAUAGACGAAGCUAUAGCUUUGAUGCUGUUGAUGACAGUAGCAAAUCUGACAAUGACAAAGGAUUUGCUCAAUUAAAAAAGUGCCAAAAAUACUUUUUAUCAUUCGCAGCUGCUACUCUGAGGAGUCUCAUUAACUGUUUCAAGAGACAAGAUGCAUUUAUACUAUCAGCUGCAGAAAUGUUAAAAGAACUCAAGUAAUACAUAGCAUGAACAUUACGUAACUAUUACUCCAACAACAUUUUUAUUACACAUAUCCAACAAGUUGAUACUCAUACAUCAGUAUUCUUUAUACAUCACAGUUCUAUUUUUGGUCCUUCUCAGUUGUCUUAAUAAUACAUGAAAUUAUAA